GAUGAACGCUGGCUACAGGCUUAACACAUGCAAGUCGAGGGGAAACGCCGUGGAAGCUUGCUUCCCCGGGCGUCGACCGGCGCACGUGUGAGGAACGCGUAUCCAACCUGCCUCUGACUGAGGGUUAACCCGUCGAAGGUCGGCCUAAUACCUCAUGGCAUCUUCUUCGGGCAUCUAACGACGAUUAAAGAGUUCAUCGGUCAGGGACGGGGUUGCGUCUGAUUAGCUUGUUGGUGGGGUAACGGCUCACCAAGGAUACGAUCAGUAGGGGUUCUGAGAGGAAGGGCCCCGAGAGUGGAACUGAGAACAGGGCCAAAGUGCUACGGGAGGCAGCAGUGCGGGAUAUUGGUGAGUGGGAGGGAGCCUGAACGAGCCAAGUAGCGUGCAGGAUGACGGCCCUAUGGGUUGUAAACUGCUUGUAGGCGGGGAUAAAGUGAGGGAAGUGUGCUUCAUUGACGGUAACGCAUGAAUAAGGACCGGCUAAUUACGUG
rnacentral:rRNA from 1 species